GUUUUUAUUUUUAAUAGAAUUUAAUAGAAUAGAAUAUAAUAAUAGGUUUAUUCAUAGAAUGUUUUAUAUACCACUACACACAGUUGACAUAGUAUAUAUAGCUACAUAUAACAAUACACACCUACAACACUCACAGUCACAUCAUUGUGUAGUUGUUGUCCCAGUGUGUUCUUCUCAUGUCAAGCUGUGAAUGACCAGAACAUUAAAGGGGGAGAAUUCAAAAUCAAUAGUAAUUUCUGAAAAUGUAUGGGAAGUCAGCUGUCUCUCUCGGUGAUCCUGCUUUGUGACGUAUCCCACAGGACACGAGGGGAGGGUUGGAAUGGCAGCGAUCAAACUGAAAGAUGACAUGGAGUUUGACAGUAGCGCCACACUGGAGCACGUCAAGUCCUCCCUGCCCAGCUACGCUCGACCGCGCUUCAUACGCAUACAGAAUUCCCUGGCUGUGACUGGAACGUUCAAGCAGAUAAAGGUGAAGCUAGCCGAAGAGGGAUUCAACCCAUCCAUGAUGCAGGAUCGAUUAUACUACCUGGAGGACAGUAAGGGAUACAUCCCCAUGACGCAGGAGAGAUGUUCCACUCUAUUUCUGAUGGAAAGAUACACUUUUGAUUGAUUUUUUUUAUUUACAUAUUUUCUAACUGUUAAUCUCUUAUUUUAAAAUUAACUGUCAAAUUAUUCAUCUGAUGUACAUUUUAUGACUAUAGAAAAACAAUGUGAAAAUUGAAAACUGUAUGGAACAUUUGUAAAUAACUAAAUAUAGAUUGAUUUUGUAAUAAAUACAAAAAACACAUUGUA